rnacentral:rRNA from 1 species
CCUACGGGAGACAGCAGUGGGGAAUAUUGCACAAUGGGGGAAACCCUGAUGCAGCGACGCCGCGUGAGCGAAGAAGUAUUUCGGUACGUAAAGCUCUAUCAGCAGGGAAGAAAAUGACGGUACCUGAGUAAGAAGCUCCGGCUAAAUACGUGCCAGCAGCCGCGGUAAUACGUAUGGAGCAAGCGUUAUCCGGAUUUACUGGGUGUAAAGGGAGCGCAGGCGGCCUAGCAAGUCUGAUGUGAAAUGCCGGGGCUAAACCCCGGAGCUGCAUUGGAAACUGUGAGGCUGGAGUGUCGGAGAGGCAGGCGGAAUUCCUAGUGUAGCGGUGAAAUGCGUAGAUAUUAGGAGGAACACCAGUGGCGAAGGCGGCCUGCUGGACGAUGACUGACGCUGAGGCUCGAAAGCGUGGGGAGCAAACAGGAUUAGAUACCCCAGUAGUC